rnacentral:rRNA from 1 species
CACGUAGGGGGCAAGCGUUGUCCGGAUUUAUUGGGCGUAAAGAGCUCGUAGGCGGUUCGGUAAGUUGGGUGUGAAACCUCCAGGCUCAACCUGGAGACGCCACCCGAUACUGUUGUGACUAGAGUCCGGUAGGGGAGCGUGGAAUUCCUGGUGUAGCGGUGAAAUGCGCAGAUAUCAGGAGGAACACCAGCGGCGAAGGCGGCGCUCUGGGCCGGAACUGACGCUGAGGAGCGAAAGCGUGGGUAGCAAACAGG